rnacentral:lncRNA from 1 species
AUUUUGGACUUUGGUUCGACUCCUACUCUGGGUUUCUAUAUAUAUAGUUAGGACUAACAGGUAAACAUUCCUGAUUUGGGAAUUUUCCUGAAAUAUUAAAAUGUACUGCACAAUAAAUUAAAUAUAAAGCCGUCAGAAUAUUUAAAAUAUUUUUCUGAUUAUUUAGUCUUCCAUUGUGGCAAUUUGCAACAGAUUGCUCUUCGAAUUUUUGGUUUACAUGAUUAGAGGAGUAAACCCAGAUGGUCCCUUAUGAUAUUUUCUCUACACAGGCAAACUUACAUGUCUGCACAACUGAGUAUCACUUCAUUUUUCUAAUUUUCUUCGAGAGUUAAUUGUUGCAUUUCAUCGAAAGUCCUGUAUCAGUAUUAAUUAAAAUGAUUUUCUUUAGAAAUUAAUUUAGCUAAUCCUUAUUCGUCAGCAAAAUAUUUAUCCUUGAAUGAACCACAAAUAGAACUACAGUACAAAUUAGAAGAAAUAAUGACUAUCACCAGCCCUACAAUAUUGCUAAUUGAUAAAUGAUCAUUAAAGGAACAAAAAAAAUGAUUCAAAAAGAUCUUUAUGUCUAAGGAAGGACAUUGUUCUGGAUAUGUAAAUUUAUAAUAGUGUAAACCUACAUGUUUACAUCUUGUCCACGUUUCUAUGUUUUUAUUUUUUGAUAAAUUUAUUUGGAAAUAUAAUGGCCACACUAUUUUGAUUUCACAGGUUCUUCAAAGUGCUGGCCUGGGAAGCAGAAACAAUGCUUAAACUAGAAUACAUGACUUUGACUAAAAUAGGUGAUUCUGCACUUCUUUAGUCUAUUGUCAUAUGCUUAUUCAUCAUGCUAAAUAAUUAUGCUUUAUAUUUCAUGUUAUUGUGUUAAUAUGUCUCUACUUUAGUAAUAAAUUUAUAUGCCUACAAAUAACAGAAAGAUGGACAACGCCUAAAUUGAGCAGAUCAAGAACGUUCAUAUCUUGGUGG